CACGGGGGGAGCAAGCGUUGUUCGGAAUCACUGGGCGUAAAGCGCGCGUAGGCGGACCUGCAAGUCGGGGGUGAAAGCCCGAGGCUCAACCUCGGAACUGCCUUCGAUACUGCGGGUCUCGAGUCCGGGAGAGGUGAGUGGAAUUCCUAGUGUAGAGGUGAAAUUCGUAGAUAUUAGGAAGAACACCAGUGGCGAAGGCGGCUCACUGGCCCGGUACUGACGCUGAGGCGCGAAAGCGUGGGGAGCAAACAGG
rnacentral:rRNA from 1 species